UGAUAAUUAGUUUAAUCCAAAACAAAUGAUUUCGACUCAUUAAAUUAUGACUUACAUCAUAAUUAUCAA
rnacentral:tRNA from 1 species